GACAGAGGGUGCAAACGUUGUUCGGAAUUACUGGGCGUAAAGCGCGUGUAGGCGGUCUAGCAAGUCGGAUGUGAAAGCCCUUGGCUCAACUGAGGAAGUGCAUUCGAAACUGCGAGACUUGAGUCCCGGAGAGGAUGGUGGAAUUCUCGGUGUAGAGGUGAAAUUCGUAGAUAUCGAGAGGAACACCGGUGGCGAAGGCGGCCAUCUGGACGGUGACUGACGCUGAGACGCGAAAGCAUGGGGAGCAAACAGG
rnacentral:rRNA from 2 species